CUUUACUUCACUGCCAAAGCCCUUAUCUUCCUUGUCGGCUUCAAGGCAAGAACACAGGAGCUCGCUGUCUGGGUAGAGACUGGACUAUAGUCUCAAGGCACCACAGGUACAAUGUGACAUCAUGUCCCUACAGUCAUAGCUUCUCGGCUGUGAUGGGCAGCAUCCCCUCAUCUCGAAGCCAAAAUAAACCCUUCCUCCGGAGCACAGAGUGGGAAAGCACACUAACCUAGGUCAUGAGAGAACUGAUUUCACCAAAGUAACACCAGGACACAUCUCCCAGAAGGGAAUAGUGACUGCUGGGCAGGAGAGAAGAACUCAGGCUGAAUGCUUCUCAGAAAGAUGCCUACUGGAACCUGAGGUGUGUCCCCCAGGAAUGGAUCUAAUAAUCUGCUAAUGGAAUAAUCUAAUCUAAUACCUUGAGAUGAGAACCUGUUUUAGGAGUGUGUUCUGUGAAAUAUCUACUCAUACAAGCAAUGUUCAACAGAAAACAACACAACACCAUCAGAGACGCCAGCUAUGAUUUCCUCUAGAGCAAAAGCAAUGCCCUUUUCUACAAUAAAAAAAAAAAAGUCUAACUUCACAUCUAGUUUUCCUUUAAAACCAGUUAAUCCUAUUUAAAAACCACAGCCACUCAGUUCUUACUUUGCCUAGGAGGAACAGAAAGAAAAUAUCAAAUCAAU